rnacentral:rRNA from 1 species
UACGGAGGGUGCAAGCGUUAUCCGGAUUCACUGGGUUUAAAGGGUGCGUAGGUGGGCAGGUAAGUCAGUGGUGAAAUCUCCGAGCUUAACUCGGAAACUGCCGUUGAUACUAUUUGUCUUGAAUAUUGUGGAGGUAAGCGGAAUAUGUCAUGUAGCGGUGAAAUGCUUAGAUAUGACAUAGAACACCAAUUGCGAAGGCAGCUCACUACACAAUGAUUGACGCUGAGGCACGAAAAGCGUGGGGGAUCAAACAGG